GACGAACGCUGGCGGCGUGCCUAAUACAUGCAAGUCGAGCGGACGGAUGGGAGCUUGCUCCCAGACCGUCAGCGGCAGACGGGUGAGUAACCCGUGGGCAACCUGCCUGUAAGACUGGGAUAACUCCGGGAAACCGGGGCUAAUACCGGAUAACUCUUUCCCUCACAUGAGGGAAAGCUGAAAGAUGGCAUCUCGCUAUCACUUACAGAUGGGCCCGCGGCGCAUUAGCUAGUUGGUGAGGUAACGGCUCACCAAGGCGACGAUGCGUAGCCGACCUGAGAGGGUGAUCGGCCACACUGGGACUGAGACACGGCCCAGACUCCUACGGGAGGCAGCAGUAGGGAAUCUUCCGCAAUGGACGAAAGUCUGACGGAGCAACGCCGCGUGAGUGAUGAAGGUUUUCGGAUCGUAAAACUCUGUUGUCAGGGAAGAACAAGUACCGGAGUAACUGCCGGUACCUUGACGGUACCUGACCAGAAAGCCACGGCUAACUACGUG
rnacentral:rRNA from 1 species